rnacentral:rRNA from 1 species
ACGGGAGGCAGCAGUGGGGAAUAUUGGGCAAUGGGCGAAAGCCUGACCCAGCAACGCCGCGUGAAGGAAGAAGGCCUUCGGGUUGUAAACUUCUUUUAUGUGGGAAGAUAAUGACGGUACCACAUGAAUAAGCCACGGCUAACUACGUGCCAGCAGCCGCGGUAAUACGUAGGUGGCGAGCGUUGUCCGGAUUUACUGGGUGUAAAGGGCGCGUAGGCGGGAUGGCAAGUCAGAUGUGAAAUCCACGGGCUUAACUCGUGAACUGCAUUUGAAACUGUCGUUCUUGAGUAUCGGAGAGGCAAGCGGAAUUCCUAGUGUAGCGGUGAAAUGCGUAGAUAUUAGGAGGAACACCAGUGGCGAAGGCGGCUUGCUGGACGACAACUGACGCUGAGGCGCGAAAGCGUGGGGAGCAAACAGGAUUAGAUACCCUGGUA